rnacentral:rRNA from 1 species
GAAUUUAAGCCCCAGUAAACGGCGGUGGUAACUAUAACCAUCCUAAGGUAGCGAAAUUCCUUGUCGGGUAAGUUCCGACCUGCACGAAUGGCGUAACGACUUCUCCGCUGUCUCAACCGCGAACUCGGUGAAAUUGCAGUACGAGUAAAGAUGCUCGUUUCGCGCAGAAGGACGGAAAGACCCCGGGACCUUUACUAUAGCUUGGUAUUGGUGUUCGCUUGGACUUGUGUAGGAUAGGUGGGAGACUGUGAAGCUGCCGCGCCAGCGGUGGUGGAGUCGUCGUUGAAAUACCAUUCUGGUUCAAGCGGUCACCUCAACCUUGGCCCGUGAUCCGGGUUGGGGACAGUGCCUGGUGGGUAGUUUAACUGGGGCGGUUGCCUCCUAAAAUGUAACGGAGGCGCUCAAAGGUUCCCUCAGCCUGGUUGGUAAUCAGGUGGCGAGUGCAAGUGUACAAGGGAGCUUGACUGUGAGACCGACGGGUCGAGCAGGUGCGAAAGCAGGAACUAGUGAUCCGGCCAUGGCACGUGGGUGCGUGGUCGCUCAACGGAUAAAAGGUACCCCGGGGAUAACAGGCUGAUCUUGCCCAAGAGUCCAUAUCGACGGCAUGGUUUGGCACCUCGAUGUCGGCUCGUCGCAUCCUGGGGCUGGAGUCGGUCCCAAGGGUUGGGCUGUUCGCCCAUUAAAGCGGUACGCGAGCUGGGUUCAGAACGUCGUGAGACAGUUCGGUCCCUAUCCUCUGUGCGCGCAGGAAAUUUGAGAAGGGCCGUCCCUAGUACGAGAGGACCGGGAUGGACGAACCUCUGGUGUGCCAGUUGUACCGCCAGGUGCAUGGCUGGUUAGCUACGUUCGGAAGGGAUAACCGCUGAAAGCAUCUAAGCGGGAAGCCUGCUUCAAGAUGAGGUUUCCACGCCCCCCUGUGGGGUGAGAGGCCCCCGCCAGACUAGCGGGUAGAUAGGCCAGAGGUGGAAGCACCGCAAGGUGCUCGUGAGCCGACUGGUACUAAUGGGCCAACACUAAACAAC